UACGUAGGGGGCAAGCGUUGUCCGGAAUCAUUGGGCGUAAAGAGCUCGUAGGCGGCUGGUCGCGUCGACUGUGAAAACCCGCGGCUCAACCGUGUGGUCUGCAGUCGAUACGGGCUGGCUGGAGUUCGGUAGGGGAGACUGGAAUUCCUGGUGUAGCGGUGAAAUGCGUAGAUAUCUGGAGGAACACCGGUGGCGAAGGCGGCAUCCUGGACCAAUACUGACGCUGAGGAGCGAAAGCCAGGGGAGCAAACGGG
rnacentral:rRNA from 1 species